AGAGUUUGAUCAUGGCUCAGAAUCAACGCUGGCGGCGUGCCUAACACAUGCAAGUCGCACGAGAAAGGGGCUUCGGCUCUGAGUAAAGUGGCGCACGGGUGAGUAACACGUGAAUCAUCUACCCUCGAGUGGGGAAUAACCUAGAGAAAUCUGGGCUAAUACCGCAUAACACUUACGAGUCAAAGCAGCAAUGCGCUUGGGGAGGAGUUCGCGGCCGAUUAGUUAGUUGGCGGGGUAAUGGCCCACCAAGACGAUGAUCGGUAUCCGGCCUGAGAGGGCGCACGGACACACUGGAACUGAAACACGGUCCAGACUCCUACGGGAGGCAGCAGUGGGGAAUUUUGCGCAAUGGGGGAAACCCUGACGCAGCAACGCCGCGUGGAGGAUGAAAUCCCUUGGGAUGUAAACUCCUUUCGAUUGGGAAGAUUAUGACGGUACCAAUAGAAGAAGCCCCGGCUAACUUCGUGCCAGCAGCCGCGGUAAUACGAGGGGGGCAAGCGUUGUUCGGAAUUAUUGGGCGUAAAGGGUGCGUAGGCGGUUUGACAAGUCUUAUGUGAAAUCUAUGGGCUCAACCCAUAGUCUGCAUGAGAAACUGUUGAGCUUGAGUAUGGGAGAGGUGAGUGGAAUUUCCGGUGUAGCGGUGAAAUGCGUAGAUAUCGGAAGGAACACCUGUGGCGAAAGCGGCUCACUGGACCAUAACUGACGCUGAGGCACGAAAGCUAGGGGAGCAAACAGGAUUAGAUACCCUAGUAGUCC
rnacentral:rRNA from 1 species